CUAUAAUUAUUCCUUUGACAUGAUAUGCACCAUUUUUUGCUGUGUCACUGAAAAUAAAAUGUGAACCUUAUAUUCUUUAAGUCACAUUUGCUUAAAUAUCAUAAUCACUUAUUUCCUAGGUAAUUUGAACUGUGAAAUCUGUACGACAACACGGGGUACACUAGUUGGUUUUGUUCUGGGUGGUCUGUACCCCAUCCUUUUGGCUAUACCCGUGAAUGGGGGCCUUGCUGCCAGGUAUGAAUCAAGUCCUCUACCACAGAGGGGAAACAUCUUCAAUUACUGGAUUACUAUUUCUAAGCCUGUCUUUAGAAAAAUGUUAUUUCCUACUUUACUUCAGACUGCUUUUGCAGCAUAUCUUGGGUCUAGACAAUAUAAACUCCUCAUAAAGGCCCUUCAGUUACCUGAACCUGAUUUAGAAAUUCAAUGAUUUGAAGCAAACAUGUACAAAAAUAAAAUGUUGAAAAUU
rnacentral:lncRNA from 1 species